UACGUAGGGGGCAAGCGUUGUCCGGAUUUAUUGGGCGUAAAGAGCGUGUAGGCGGCUUUACAGGUCCGUUGUGAAAACUGGAGGCUCAACCUCCAGACGUCGACGGAAACCGUGUGGCUAGAGUCCGGAAGAGGAGAACGGAAUUCCUGGUGUAGCGGUGAAAUGCGCAGAUAUCAGGAGGAACACCGGUGGCGAAGGCGGUUCUCUGGGCAUUACCUGACGCUGAGGAGCGAAAGUGUGGGGAGCGAACAGG
rnacentral:rRNA from 1 species